rnacentral:rRNA from 1 species
AACGAACGCUGGCGGCAUGCCUAACACAUGCAAGUCGAACGAGAUCUUCGGGUCUAGUGGCGCACGGGUGCGUAACGCGUGGGAAUCUGCCCUUUGGUUCGGAAUAACAGUUGGAAACGACUGCUAAUACCGGAUGAUGACGAAAGUCCAAAGAUUUAUCGCCAGAGGAUGAGCCCGCGUAGGAUUAGCUAGGUGGUGUGGUAAAGGCGCACCAAGGCGACGAUCCUUAGCUGGUCUGAGAGGAUGAUCAGCCACACUGGGACUGAGACACGGCCCAGACUCCUACGAGAGGCAGCAGUGGGGAAUAUUGGACAAUGGGCGAAAGCCUGACCCAGCAAUGCCGCGUGAGUGAUGAAGGCCUUAGGGUUGUAAAGCUCUUUUACCCGGGAUGAUAAUGACAGUACCGGGAGAAUAAGCUCCGGCUAACUCCGUGCCAGCCGCCGCCGUAA